rnacentral:piRNA from 1 species
UGCAAACACUCACUCAGACUCAGCAG